rnacentral:miRNA from 1 species
GUGAGCCCAUUUACAUGUGUGU